AUAUAGGGAUAAUCUAUCAUCCCAGGAAUAUUACUGUUUACAGGAAGACGAAAUAAAGUACAGUAUUAUUGCAGGGUCAGAAAGUGAACACGAAGCUGAAGUGUCCUGCUCCAUUGGGAUUUCUGGUCUGUUUUCUUAUUUUCCACGUGGUGCAAGGUGUGACCUCAGGCAAUGUGACUGGUACUGAGUGCACUGUACAGGAGUCGUACCUGAUGUACAAAACUGUUCUGAUUCAGCACGCGCACGAAGUCUGCACUAACACUUGGUGUUGGCAUUUUCCUCCGCGAUGUAGGAGAUGCAGAACAGAGCUGAGGUCAACGUACAAAGUGGUCACGGAGCUCGCCUA